CCUACGGGGGGCUGCAGUGGGGAAUAUUGGACAAUGGGGGCAACCCUGAUCCAGCCAUGCCGCGUGUGUGAAGAAGGCCCUCGGGUUGUAAAGCACUUUCAGUGAGGAAGAACGCCUGGUGGUUAAUACCCAUCAGGAAAGACAUCACUCACAGAAGAAGCACCGGCUAACUCCGUGCCAGCAGCCGCGGUAAUACGGAGGGUGCGAGCGUUAAUCGGAAUUACUGGGCGUAAAGCGCGCGUAGGUGGCUUGAUAAGCCGGUUGUGAAAGCCCCGGGCUCAACCUGGGAACGGCAUCCGGAACUGUCAAGCUAGAGUGCAGGCGAGGAAGGUAGAAUUCCCGGUGUAGCGGUGAAAUGCGUAGAGAUCGGGAGGAAUACCAGUGGCGAAGGCGGCCUUCUGGACUGACACUGACACUGAGGUGCGAAAGCGUGGGUAGCAAACAGGAUUAGAUACCCUAGUAGUC
rnacentral:rRNA from 1 species